GCAAACUAUGGAAGAAGCAGAGAGAACAAGCAUGCCCAGAGCAAUGAGAGAUUUGUUUGUUGUCUUGCUAACAAACACUGAAAUCAACAAUCCACAGCAAUUAUGGUUCAAGAAUGCAAUGUCUGAAGAUUUCUUACAAAUGGAGAGGAGAACUAACAAUAAUCCUAGUAUCAUGAUCGAUGAGAGGCUUCAUGGACAAGCUCUUCUGUAUUUCCAAGAGAAACUUGAGACCUUGAGCAAAACACUUGAAGAAUAUAACCUGCCAACACCAAAAAAACAGAACAAUUACUCAAAGUGCUGGCAAUCUGGAAUUAUUGUGUGAACUGCAAUACAACAGAGACAAACAGCAGGAAUUUGCUUCACAGAAGGAGCCCCUAUUGAAUUAUGAACAAGGAGAAGUACAUGAAUAUGUGUGCUACUGCUUGGAAAGGAAUCUCUUUUCAAUGAUUUUCAUUGAUCACCAAGAGGAACGGGCAAGACAUUUAUCAUCAACUUGAUCCUCGCUAAAGUUAGGGGAGAUGGAGGUGUUGGCUAUUGCUGUAGCAUCAUCCGGUAUUGCAGCAACAUUGAUGCCUGGUGGUAGGACAGCGCAUUCAAGAUUCAAAAUACCCCUCAUAGUCAAUGAAGAUGCCCUUUGUAACAUCGAGUUAAAAACACCAAUACUGCAAAUUUACUUCAAAAUGCGAGGCUCAUUAUCUGGGAUGAGUGCCCCAUGAUUAGGAGGGAGAGCUUGGAAGCUAUGGACAGGACUUUUCGUGAUGUAUGCAGCAAAAAUGAGGCCUUCGGGGGUACUCUAACCAUUUGCUGUGGCGAUUUCUGUCAGCUUCUACCAGUUGUAAAACAUGUAAAUGAUGCUGAUGUAGAGAAUUCUUUCAUUGAAAACAUCCUUAUGGAGAAGCUUUAUCAAGUUUCAAUUGAAGAGAAACAUGCGAUUGAAUGAGGGAGAAAGACGAUAUUCUGAGUUCUUAUUGGAUGUUGGAGAAGACAAAAUUAAGAAAAAUGAAAACAAUGAAAUCGAAUUACCUGAAGAUAUGAUUCUGCCAGCAAAAACUAUGGAAGAAUGCAUUGAUUUCAUGUACCUGACAUUUGACAAUCCUGCAGAACUGUUCUCAAAGAAUUCUAUCUUCGUUCCUCUCAAUGAAAUGAUGCGAAAAAUAAAUAAUGAUGCUUCCCUGGAAUCAUGAAAGAAUACUGUUCCUUCAAUGCCAUAAGUGAGGGAGCUAACGCCACUCAUUUUCAAACAGAAUACCUUGAUUCGGUUGAACUCUCUGGAUUGCCGCCACAUAAAAUGGAAUUGAAGAGGGGAUCUCCCAUCAUUUCAAUGAGGAACUUGGAUCCACCAAGGCUUUGCAAUGGAACACACAUGAUGGUGAAAGAACUGCAUGACAAUCUCAUCGUAGCAAAGAUGAACAUUGGUGUGUUCAAUAAUGACAUUGUCACGAUCCCAAGAAUUACUCAACUUAUCAGAAGGGGAAGAUGUUCCUCUUCAACGGAGCCAGUUCCUGAUACAGACAUGCUUUGUUAUGACUAUACAUAACGUGCAAGGCCAAACUAUGGAGAAUGUGUUGAUUUAUCUGGAGAAACCGCCAUAGCCCUGAUUUUCACUUCUGCGUCGCUCUACGCCGUAACGAGCAUGUGUUGGUGUGUGCCAAAACGCUAGUUGGUAGUGGCGUUUCUAUGCCACUGUGAGUUUCUUUGUGAGAGACAUGGACGAGGAAAUGCAUUUCAAACAUUUUCACAUGUCAGCAAGUAGAUUUGACGAUUUGGUUCAUCUAUUUCGCAUCAGUGUACAGGCAUGGCAGAGAAGAAACAACCGGAAAUGCGUAGGAGGAAAUGUGAUGCUGCCAAGCGGACCAAUCACAGUUGUUGUGGUCUGCAUCGCCAUGACAGCUGAAUUAAUUUUUUGGGGAGGUGCACGUCACCCUACGGCAUAGAAGAUGGAGAGAGAAGAUGCCAGAAAGGAGAGGUCAUGGACACCAGAAAGGAGUGGACUUGGAGUGGGGCCGGGAGUUGAUGAAGCCUGAGGAAAUUGAUGGAGGAUCAGUGAAAGAAAAACCGGUGUCACAUCACACAGCAUCCACACAAACAGGAGGAUUUGCACCUCAAUCUUGUACAUCUGGUGGGGCCGGAGAUUCUCUUCCCUAAACUUACGCAGCCGACAGAAGCUGAGACAGCCACGAAAGAAACCAUGGAACCCAUUCAAAGAAAACAUCACUCAAUGUGCAAAAGAAGAACAAAUUGUGCAAAAGGCAAAAAAGAAAUGAGCAAUAAGCACAAAAUAUAAAACAUCAAACCACUGAGUCAUUGAAACAGUUUGAGAAUCUUCGGUUUAGUUCAAUUCAACUUGAGCAGAAGAUCAGACGUGAUCUUGGUGAAUGGUGCCAUAGGGGAUGAUGGACAGCUUCCACUCCUAUUUCUUUUGUUUUUAUUUUCAUUUCUUGCCUUUAUGUGUAAUGCUACAAUAUGAUUAACCAUGUUAUUACUGAAUGGUACUGUAGCUUCGAGGGCCUAAGUGGGUUGUUCCUACUGUUAAUGCACAUCCCAGCUUCUAUCCCAGUCUUAUGACCAUUGAAAAGUCCUCUCAUACAAUAAGAUGGGUUCUUGACCUCACAAUCUGCCUCAUUAUCGUCUUGCAUUGUAUUGUCUGCCUGUACUACACUUCCUCUGUUACUGUUACACUUUAUUCUGCAUUUUGUUAUUAUUUUCCCUUGUACUACUGCAAUACAUUGAUGUGCUGAAAUAAUCUCUAUCUCAAAAAUAAUUGAGAUACAAGAGAUGACAAAUACUGGGAUCUACAUCAACAAACAAGAUGCAGGAGGAAAUCACCGGGUAACCCACUGAGUUCCUCCAGCAUCUAGUCUAUGCUCUCAAAAAUAACACCGAGUUAAUGACCGCAAUGUCUGAUGUUGUAUGUUAAGGGGUCCAAUGCUUCAGGAGUGUAAGGGCAUGAGUUGGGUAUUGGGUGGAUCAGGGAAUGGAGGUAUCAAAUACAGCACAGGGCAUGGUAGGUGAGUGGGUGGAGGUAUGGAUCUAGUGUAAAGAAUAUUAAUAGCUCAUGAAUUUUUCCUCAUCUGAAACGCAGGACAAGACUAAUACUCUAACAACCCAGUUAACAGGGAUAGAGUCAUAGAGUAUGGAAACAGGUCCUUUGGCCCAUGGAGUCCACUCUAGUCACCAAGCACCCAUGUACACCAGUCCAAACACUAAUACUUUCUUUUCUCACCACAUUCCCAUCAACUCUCCAUACCGUCACGGCCUGGAACGGAAACACCAAUGCCCUUGAAUGGAAAAUCCUACAAAAAGUAGUGGAUGCAGUCCAUCACAGAUAAAGCCCUCCCCAUCAUUAAGCAGAUCUACACACAACACUUUUGCAGGCCAUGCUCUCUUCUCACUGCUAUCAUCAGGAAGAAGGUACAGGAGCCUCAGGAUUCAUGCUGUUCAGGUUCAAGAGAGUUAUUGCUCCUCGGCUUCACUCGCAUCACUGUAACAUUAACACACCCUAUGGAAUCAGUUUCAAAGACUCAUCAUCUCAUGUUCUCAAUAUUUAUUCUUUAUGUAUUAUUUUUUUCUUUUGUAUUUGCACAGUUUGUUGCCUUUUGCACACAGGUUGAACGUUCAAGUUAGUGCGGUCUUUCAUUGAUUCUGUUAUGCUUAUCACAGAAACAUAGAAAACCUACAGCACAAUAUAGGCCCUUUCACCCACAAUGCUGUGCCGAACGUGUACUAACUUUAGAAAUUACCUAGGGUUACCCAUAGCCCUCUAUUUUUCUAAGCUCCAUGUACCUAUCCAGGAGUUUCUUAAAAGACCCUAUCGUAUCCACCUCCACCACCGUUGCUGGCAGACCAUUCCACGCACUCAUCACUCUUUGCAUAAAAAAACUUACCCCUGACAUCUCCUCUGUACCUACUUCUAAGCACCUUAAAACUAUGCCCUCUUGUGUUAGCCAUUUCAGCCCUGGGAAAAAGCCUCUGACUAUCCACACAAUCAAUGCCUCUCAUCAUCUUAUACACCUCUAUUAGGUCACCUCUCAUCCUCUGUCGCUCCAAGGAGAAAAGGCCAAGUUCACUUAACCUGUUCUCAUAAGGCAUGCUCCCCAAUCCAGGCAACAUCCUUGUAAAUCUCUCUGCACCCUUGCUAUAGUUUCCACAUCCUUCCUGUAGUGAGGUGACCAGAACUGAGCAUAGUACUCCAAGUGGGGUCUGACCAGGGUCCUUUGUAGCUGUAACAUUACCUCUCAGCGCUUAAACUCAAUCCCACGGUUGAUAAAGGCCAAUGCACCAUACGCCUUCUUAACCACAGAGUCAACCUGCACAGCAGUUUUGAGUGUCCUACAGACUUGGACCCCAAGAUCCCUCUGAUCCUCCACACUGCCAGGAGUCUUACCAUUAAUACUAUAUUCUGCCAUCAUAUUUGACCUACCAAAAUGAACCACCUCACACUUACCUGGGUUGAACCCCAUCUGCCACUUCUCAGCCCAGUUUUGCAUCCUAUCGAUGUUCCGCUGUAACCUCUGACAGCUCUCCACACUAUCCACAACACCCCCAACCUUUGUGUCAUCAGCAAAUUUACUAACCCAUCCUUCCACUUCCUCAUCAGGUCAUAUAUAAAAGUCACGAAGAGAAGGGAUCCCAGAACAGAUCCCUGAGGCACACCACUGGUGGCCGACCUCCAUGCAGAAUAUGACCUGUCUACAACCUCUCUGCUUUCUGUGGGCAGGCCAGUUCUGAAUCCACAAAGCAAUGUCCCCUUGGAUCCCAUGCCUCCUUACUUUCUCAGUAAGCUUUGCAUGGGGUACCUUUAAGGGUUCAGGACAGUCCCGCUAAUUGUAAUCAUGUUUUGGGGCACCAAGAAUUGAGUAUUUAAAGAUCACCUGAACUGAGGUUUGGCACUCAAUUGUAAGCCCUGGUAAUAAUUUUGUCUAGUAUUUGUUUUGUCCUUAGUUCUUGAUCAAGUUUGAUACCAGGUCUCGAUCCUUGCUUUGGAUACUGCAGUAUUUCGGUUCAAACUAUCCUCAUCAAGGACUCUCAUCACUGUCUGAUUGAGGCAAUAUGGACGCAAUGGGAUAUCGGAGCCUUUUGUCAGCUGUGGCCAGCCCCAGUGAGAAAAUUUCCGGACAGACCCUGGAGAUACAUGACCUCCAGUUUGCUGUGUGCCAACUUCUGCAGGGAGAAAGCCAAAGUCGCUCAGAUGCUGCCUGACCUGCUGAGCAUUUCCAGUACUCCCUAUUUUAAAUUAGAUAUCCAGCUUCCAGGGUUUCUAACUUUCUGGUUACAGACUGUGAGCUCUUCAAACAUGAAGUUUCAGGAAAGAGUCUGGACAGUUCCCGUCAGGUAACGUAGCUGUGUAGGAAAGACCCUGGCCUUGGACAGAUCAAAGCACAUUCUUGGGAGUUGGUGCUGUCCCCCAGUGUUCGCUUGGCAAGUUGGAUUGUGUUUGACUGCAGACUGUUGCAACAUUCAUGGACUCAGCAACUUGGACUAUUUUUUUUGUGUGUCUUAUUCUACUGAUAUGUUAUAUAUGUGUUAUAUGUGACUGUUGGUACUGUGGCUUGCACCUUGGCCCGAGUAAUGCUCUUUCAUUUGUCUGUAUUCAUGGGUAUUCAUGUAUGGUUGCAUGACAAUUAAACUUGAACUUGAAACUAAUAGAAAUUUCCAGUAUUGGUAGCAUUCAUUAUCAUCAUUUCAAAGCUUUCACACACCUGAGGAUGUUUGCAUUUUGUCUUUUAUUUGCCAUUUGUUGUUGUAUUGCACCAAAAUAAACAACUACAGUGUAUAAAUUACUGGUUGAUGGUCUUUGACUUCACAGUGUCAGCAACUGUACAGAGUAAUCUUUUUCUCCUCUAUGUGAUAAGGAUCUCCAGACAGGGAAAGACCUCCCCAGAAAGUGACUGAUGGAGCAGAGGUGUGAUGGGGAAGGUAGUUUAUACUGCGGGGUUAAUUUGCUCUCCAUGAUGGCUACUUUGAAACACAGUAAAAUAUUGGGGAUUCAGAUAAGGACUCUGGGUGGCAUCGGUCAGUUCCUUGUGGCUACAUGUUCAACUUCUUUCUACCUUUCUUGCUCUCAGCCUUACUGCUUCACUCCUGACUUACGUAUCUUCCACACACCAGCUCCAAAAUUCUAUCCUCAGAGCUCACUCCCACUCCUAGACUUUCUGCUUACA